AUUGAACGCUGGCGGCAUGCUUUACACAUGCAAGUCGAACGGUAACAGGCCGCAAGGUGCUGACGAGUGGCGAACGGGUGAGUAAUGCAUCGGAACGUGCCCAGUCGUGGGGGAUAACUACUCGAAAGAGUAGCUAAUACCGCAUACGAUCUAUGGAUGAAAGCGGGGGACCGUAAGGCCUCGCGCGAUUGGAGCGGCCGAUGUCAGAUUAGGUAGUUGGUGGGGUAAAGGCUCACCAAGCCAACGAUCUGUAGCUGGUCUGAGAGGACGACCAGCCACACUGGGACUGAGACACGGCCCAGACUCCUACGGGAGGCAGCAGUGGGGAAUUUUGGACAAUGGGCGCAAGCCUGAUCCAGCAAUGCGGCGUGCAGGAAGAAGGCCUUCGGGUUGUAAACUGCUUUUGUACGGAACGAAACGGCUCUGGUUAAUACCCGGGGCUAAUGACGGUACCGUAAGAAUAAGCACCGGCUAACUACGUG
rnacentral:rRNA from 1 species